rnacentral:rRNA from 1 species
GUCUAUGGCCAUGCCACCCUGAACAAGCCUGAUGUCUGAUCUUGGAAGCUAAGCAGGGUCGGGCCUGGUUAGUAAUACUUGGAUGGGAGACCACCUAGGAAGACCAGGUGCUGUAGGCA